rnacentral:rRNA from 1 species
GAUGAACGCUGGCGGCGUGCCUAAUACAUGCAAGUCGAGCGAACAGACGAGGAGCUUGCUCCUCUGACGUUAGCGGCGGACGGGUGAGUAACACGUGGAUAACCUACCUAUAAGACUGGGAUAACUUCGGGAAACCGGAGCUAAUACCGGAUAAUAUAUUGAACCGCAUGGUUCAAUAGUGAAAGACGGUUUUGCUGUCACUUAUAGAUGGAUUCGCGCCGCAUUAGCUAGUUGGUAAGGUAACGGCUUACCAAGGCAACGAUGCGUAGCCGACCUGAGAGGGUUAAUCGUCCCCUUGGAACCGAGGCCCCGUCCCGACUCCUACGGGACGCCGCCGUUGGGAAUCCUUCGCCACUGGGCGAAGCCCUACGGGACCACCUCGCGGGAGGUAAUGAAGUUCUCCGAUUCUAAAAACCCGUUUAUUGGGAAGAACAAAUUUUGAAGUUAACUUUCCCCGUUUGACCGUACCUAAUCAGAAAGCCACGGCUAACUACGUG